rnacentral:rRNA from 1 species
AAACAAGGUCAAGCUGUGCACUCUAGACAGACUGCCGUGGACAACACGGAGGAAGGUGGGGGAUGACGUCAAAUCAUCAUGCCCCUUAUGAUCUGGGCUACACACGUGCUACAAUGGCCGGUACAACGGGCAGCGAAGGAGCGAUCCGGAGCGAAUCCUAAAAAGCCGGUCCCAGUUCGGAUUGCAGGCUGAAACUCGCCUACAUGAAGUUGGAGUUGCUAGUAAUCGCGAAUCAGAAUGUCGCGGUGAAUACGUUCUCGGGGUUU